GAUGCGAGUCCAUAUAAUGAGGCCCAGUAAGAAGACGCCAUAAUACCCUUGCUAAUAAGGUAUAAUCAUCUCAUUGUAAUCAAGUUACGUGCAAUUUAUGAGGGUUAGGGAAUGGGCCUUUGACUCGAGACGCUGUUUUUUUUCUUUUUUUCUUCCGGAUGCUAGUCUGGAGGGCUGAGAGUGCUGCUGUGCGUUUCCACUGCUGGAGGAGCUGCGCAUGAGGAGAGGCCUGCACAAAGAGAAAGUUGGCGGUGUUGUGGAGUCUGAGUGGGUGAGCAGCGUGCUGAGACAGCUCAUCAAUCAGCCCCUUUGGAAACACCUUUCUCCCCCUGCUCUCUUCCUGUAAGUGCUCUACGAUCCACAGCAGCCGCCAGGAGUCCGCAGGAAGCCACCGGGUUGGUCCAAUCCAAUGGCUGUGCGAUGUUGCUGGAUAUUGGCAGGACCUGGAACACGCUGUCGUAUACGCCGAUCCUGAGCAUCCCAACCAUGCUCAAUGGAUGACAUGUCCGUGAAAACCGGGAUUCAUCCGUGAAGAGAACACCUCUCCAAAGUGCCAGACGCCAUCGAAU